UACGGAGGAUGCAAGCGUUAUCCGGAAUGAUUGGGCGUAAAGCGUCCGUAGGUGGCUAUUCAAGUCUGCUGUUAAAGCGCAGGGCUUAACCCUGUAAAGGCGGUGGAAACUGGAGAGCUAGAGUGUGGUAGGGGUAGAGGGAAUUCCCGGUGUAGCGGUGAAAUGCGUAGAGAUCGGGAAGAACACCAGUGGCGAAAGCGCUCUACUGGGCCACAACUGACACUGAUGGACGAAGGCUAGGGGAGCGAAUGGG
rnacentral:rRNA from 1 species